CAGACUGCUAAGUUGGCUCAUAUAUGGCUUUACUUACUCAUCAGUACAACAUUAUUAUUAUUUUAUGCUAUGUGUUGGGCUCCCUUUUAGGUGCCAGGUAUAAUGAGAUUAAUAAUACAAAAUAACAUUGUUAUGAAACGUAUAUAACAUUGUCGUUGACUAAGCAAGUAAAAUAUUAUAGAUUGUAACAUACUUUCAAGUGAUAUAAAGAAAAAUAAAGCUAGCUAAGGGAUAAAAAUGAGGUGAAAACCUUUUAAAUAGAUUUGACUGGAAUGGCUUCUUUGCUGUGCUCAUAAAUGAGCUCAGACCUAAAUUAUGUGUCCUGAAUUAUUGAACGGGGAGAGACGAUUUCUGGCAGAGGAUAUACCAAGUGAAACAUCCAUGUUCAAAUAUAUUUGAGGAGAAGCAAAAAGUCUAUUCCUGAUGGAGUAAUAUGUGUUUGGAGGCGCUGAAAAAACAUUGUGCUGAUCAUAUGAGACCAGGCUCAUAGGCAGAUGGGACUUGCCUUGUCUCAGAUGAGACCUUGGACUGUGGACUUCUGAGUUAAUGCUGAAAUGAAUUAAGACUUUGGGGGACUAUUGCUACGCCACUAGAACAAAAAUACCUGAAGCCAACUGAAACUAAGCUGAGAUUUGCUGCCUGAAAACAAGCCCAGCCAAUCCCAGUGAAAGCCAGCCGAUCCAAUGAUAAAAACAGAGCCUCAGCCAAUAUCUACACCAAUGAAUGGAGAAAUAAAUGUUCAUUGUUUAAACAACUGAGUCAGGAUGUUGUAUUUCAGAGUAUUAUUUUGACAAGAGCUGAUAAAUACAGAAAUUGAUACCAGAUAUAGGGUGCUGAUAGUAAUGUGUAAUGAGGAAACCCUUUUAAGAGGCUGAGAAAACAAUGGCAUCUAUUAUGUAGAAAUAUGACUUUUGGUAAAGAUUGUCAUUUCACUAAGUGGAAAAAUUCUACAAAUGUAUCUAGUAAAUUAAUUUUCUUUUAUCAAAGAAGUUUAUAGGUAGACCUUUAAUAGUGUGAACUAUAUUUGAUAAGAUAUAACAAUAACAAACCUGAUAGGCUUAGAAAAGGACAAGCCAAUUUGUCAACAGAAAUGUGAAAGAGCAGAGAAAGAUAAGAAACUGAAUAGUAAUUAAAAUUAUUUCUAACCAAAGUUGUGACCAUUAAAAAGUAGCCGCUAGAAAAAGACUAAAUUCAACAUGAGAUCACAAGACAUGCCAUCAAGACAAACAUAAAAUCAGAGACAUGUAAAAGGAUUAAGGUGUCUUUAAUAGGCUAAUUGUCCUACACAUUAUAGUUUUGUUUGUUUGUUUGUUUGUUUUAGAUGGAGUUUCACUCUUGCUGCCCAGGCUGGAGAACAGUGGCACGAUCUUGUCUCACCACAACCUCUACCUCCUGGGUUCAAGAGAUUCUCCUGUCAGCCUCCCAAGUAGCUGGAAUUACAGGCAUGCGCCACCACACCUGGCUAAUUUCUUUGUAUUUUUAGUAGCCACAGGGUAUCUCCAUGUUGAUCAGGCUGGUCUCGAACUCCCAACCUCAGGUGAUCCACCCACCUCAGCCUCCCAGAGUGCUGGGAUUACAGGCGUGAGCCACCGCACCAGUCUCACAUUAUGUUUUUAUCCAAAUUACCUGUAGUCAAGUCUAGACUGAGGCAAAGAAGAAGGUAGACAGACAGGUAGGCAGGUAGGUAGGUAGGUAGGUAGGUAUAGUCACAAAUCAAAGUGUGGGUAUGUUUUUUGGAAAAUGGAAUUAUGUAAGAUCAUACAUAGAAAACUCACCACAUAUUUCAGACAGCUGUGCUAAUGAAAGCACCCACACCCUGGAUUAAAAGAAACUAUUUGAGAUGAAAAAGCAUAAUGCAUGUGCCACCAGUAUCAUACUUGUAAUUGGACUAAAAGAGUCUCAAGUUGCCAAGGAGGGAAUAGUCUCCAGUUAUUUCCUCUAAGGAGUAAGAACAGGAGAGACAUCCUGGAAAGCGGAGGCAAAUACUGUCAAUAAUAUUGAAUUUGGGACCUGUUUUGAAACAAGAAGAAAGAAUCCUAAACCAGUAAACUAUCUAAACAAAGGGUAACGUGAAAACAUUUAUCCAGUUGCCAUAUACCACUGAAUUCUAUAUGACUCAAAUGAUUUCCGUUUUCAAAUAUCACAAUUCCACCAGUUGUUCUGAACCUCCUUUAUUUUCUUUUUUCAUAAUUGCAUGUUUCAUGUAUGUUUUUGUUUACUGGUCUCUGGAGCAAGAAAAGCUACAUUCACACUUAGUAUGUUCUCAGUAUUCUAGAAUUUUAGCCUAAGGCUAUAAAUAAAUGAGACUUUUAAUGAUGCAUAAGGAAGGUGUGUAUGUAUAUUUUACACGCAAGAGGAAAGAAAGAGGAUGUUUGUGAACAAGAGUUUGGACUGCAAUAAC
rnacentral:lncRNA from 1 species